rnacentral:pre_miRNA from 2 species
UCUGGGGCUCAACUGCUCUCCCAAUUAAGUCAGUUGGACUUUUGAUUUUGACUAAAUUGGGAGAAGGGUUGAGUCCUCUG